rnacentral:rRNA from 1 species
GACGAACGCGGCGGCGUGCCUAAUACAUGCAAGUAGAACGCUGAAGGAGGAGCUUGCUUCUCUGGAUGAGUUGCGAACGGGUGAGUAACGCGUAGGUAACCUGCCUGGUAGCGGGGGAUAACUAUUGGGAACGAUAGCUAAUACCGCAUAAGAGUAGAUGUUGCAUGACAUUUGCUUAAAAGGUGCAAUUGCAUCACUACCAGAUGGACCUGCGUUGUAUUAGCUAGUUGGUGGGGUAACGGCUCACCAAGGCGACGAUACAUAGCCGACCUGAGAGGGUGAUCGGCCACACUGGGACUGAGACACGGCCCAGACUCCUACGGGAGGCAGCAGUAGGGAAUCUUCGGCAAUGGACGGAAGUCUGACCGAGCAACGCCGCGUGAGUGAAGAAGGUUUUCGGAUCGUAAAGCUCUGUUGUAAGAGAAGAACGAGUGUGAGAGUGGAAAGUUCACACUGUGACGGUAUCUUACCAGAAAGGGACGGCUAACUACGUGCCAGCAGCCGCGGUAAUACGUAGGUGGCAAGCGUUAUCCGGAUUUAUUGGGCGUAAAGAGAGUGCAGGCGGUUUUCUAAGUCUGAUGUGAAAGCCUUCGGCUUAACCGGAGAAGUGCAUCGGAAACUGGAUAACUUGAGUGCAGAAGAGGGUAGUGGAACUCCAUGUGUAGCGGUGGAAUGCGUAGAUAUAUGGAAGAACACCAGUGGCGAAGGCGGCUACCUGGUCUGCAACUGACGCUGAGACUCGAAAGCAUGGGUAGCGAACAGG